rnacentral:rRNA from 1 species
GAUCCUGCCAGUAGUCAUAUGCUUGUCUCAAAGAUUAAGCCAUGCAUGUGUUAGUCUCAGUAGUUUCACUUCUUCACUGUGGAUGGCUCAUUACCACAGCAGCAGUCACUGCAGCAGUCUUGCUACAUGGAUAACUGUGGCAAAUCUAGGGCUAAUACAUGAUGUUGGCUUGCCUCAGAGGAAGAGCUGCGCUUGUUAAACACGCGAACCAUUACAGGGCUUCCCUGUCCAUUACCGAGAGAUGGUGAAUCAGUGAAUUGUGCUGCUUCGGCGGACAAAAGGCUGCGAGAGCUUCUGACCUAUCAGCUUCCGACGCUAGGGUAUUGGCCUGCCGUGGCAAUGACGGGUACCGGAGAAUUAGGGUUUGAUUCCGGAGAGGGAGCCUGGCAAACGGCUACCACAUCCAAGGAAGGCAGCAGGCGCGCAAAUUGCCCAAUUCUGAGUGAGAGAGGUAGUGACAAGAAAUAACAAUGCGGGGCAUCCAUGUCUUGUAAUUGGAAUGAGCAGUAUCUAAGCCCGCCUGCGAGUAUCAAUUGGAGGGCAAGUCUGGUGCCAGCAGCCGCGGUAAUUCCAGCUCCGAAAGCAUAUAUUAAAGCUGUUGCAGUUAAAAAGCUCGUAGUUGGAUGUCUAUCAAGAGCACUUGGUCUACCCACUGGGUGUGUGUCAUCUUGCUUUGGAUACCUCUGGGGAAUGUGGCUGCACUUGACUGUGUGGUGCAGUAUCCAGAGCAUUUACUUUGAGGAAAUUGGAGUGCUUCAAGCAAGCCUUGCCCUUGCACAUGCUAGCAUGGAAUAGACUGCUUGCGCCCUGGCUCAUUCUUGAUGGUUUCUUGAUUCGGGGCGAGAUUGAGUAGGGAUGGUUGGGGGUGCUUGAACUCAGCAGUCAGAGGUGAAAUUCUUGGAUUUGCUGAAGUCAUUCAAAUGCGAAAGCAUCUGCCCAAGACGUUUUCAUUGAUCAAGAACGAAAGUUAGGGGAUCGAAGACGAUCAGAUACCGUCCUAGUCUUAACAGUAAACGAUGCCCACUUGGAAUUGGCUGCUGUUUUCCACACGACAUUGCCAGCGCCUGAUGAGAAAUCAAAGUUCUUGGGUUCCAGGGGGAGUAUGGUCGCAAGGCUGAAACUUAAAGGAAUUGACGGAAGGGCACUACCAGGAGUGGAGCCUGCGGCUUAAUUUGACUCAACACGUGGAAACUUACCAGGUCCAGACAUAGGAGGGAGUGACAGACUGAUGGCUCUUUCGCGAUUCUAUGGGUGGUGGUGCAUGGCCGUUCUUAGUUGGUGGAGUGGUUUGUCUGGUUAAUUCCGUUAACGAACGAGACCUUGCCCUACUCACUAGCCGUGUGCAGCUGUUGCUUUACAUGUGGCUUCUUAGCGGGACUCUACAUGUCCAAUGUGGGGAGGUUUGAGGCAAUAACAGGUCUGUGAUGCCCUUAGAUGUUCUGGGCUGCACGCGCGCUACACUGAUGCCCGAAAUGAGGUGACUCCCUUGCCUGGCAAGGCUGGGAAAUCUCUGCAAUGUGCAUCGUGAUGGGGACAAUCCAUUGCAACUGUCGGUUU